rnacentral:rRNA from 1 species
AUUGAACGCUGGCGGCAUGCUUUACACAUGCAAGUCGAACGGUAACAGGCCUUCGGGUGCUGCCGAGUGGCGAACGGGUGAGUAAUGCAUCGGAACGUGCCCAGAGGUGGGGGAUAACGCAGCGAAAGCUGUGCUAAUACCGCAUGUGAUCUGAGGAUGAAAGCGGGGGACCAGGCAGCAAUGUUUGGCCUCGCGCCUUUGGAGCGGCCGAUGUCAGAUUAGGUAGUUGGUGGGGUAAAGGCCUGCCAAGCCGACGAUCUGUAGCUGGUCUGAGAGGACGACCAGCCACACUGGGACUGAGACACGGCCCAGACUCCUACGGGAGGCAGCAGUGGGGAAUUUUGGACAAUGGGCGCAAGCCUGAUCCAGCAAUGCCGCGUGCGGGAAGAAGGCCUUCGGGUUGUAAACCGCUUUUGUACGGAACGAAAAGGCUCUGGCUAAUACCUGGGGCUGAUGACGGUACCGUAAGAAUAAGCACCGGCUAACUACGUG